GCGAAAACUUUACAAUGCUGGCAACAGCGAUAAGGGAACCUCGAGUGCCAGGUUACAAAUCUGGCUGUCGAGAUGCCUAAAAAGCAUUUCAUAGCAAGGGCCGGGCAAGACCGGUGCCAGCCGCCGCGGUAACACCGGCGGCUCGAGUGGUAACCGUUAUUAUUGGGUCUAAAGGGUCUGUAGCCGGCCGGAUAAGUCUCUUGAGAAAUCUGGCAGCUUAACUGUCAGGCUUUCAGGAGGUACUGUCUGGCUCGAGGCCGGGAGAGGUGAGAGGUACUUCAGGGGUAGGGGUGAAAUCCUGUAAUCCUUGGAGGACCACCAGUGGCGAAGGCGGCUCACCAGAACGGACCUGACGGGAAGGGACGAAAGCUAGGGGCACGAACC
rnacentral:rRNA from 1 species